rnacentral:lncRNA from 10 species
CGCAGACGCUCCCCGCAGACGCUCGGCAGGUGUCUUGAUAUUAUCAUCUGCUGAGGGUGGAGCUGAGGGUGGAAAGGGAGUGAGCUGACGCUCGGAAGGUGUCUUGAGAUCAUCCGCUGAGGGUGGAAGGCAGGUGUCUUGAUAUUAUCAUCUGCUGAGGGUGGAGCUGAGGGUGGAAGGGGAGUGAGCUGACGCUCGGAAGGUGUCUUGAGAUUAUCAUCCGCUGAGGGUGGAAGCGGCCCCCGCAGACGCUCGGCAGGUGUCUUGAUAUUAUCAUCUGCUGAGGGUGGAAGGGCAGUGAGCUGACGCUCGGAAGGUGUCUUGAGAUUAUCAUCCGCUGAGGGUGGAAGGGGAUGGAGCAGACACUCGGCACGUGUCUUGAGAUUAUCAUCCGCUGAGGGUGGAGCUGAGGGUAGAGCUGAGGGUGGAAGGGGAGUGAGCAGACACUCGGGAGGUGUCUUGAGAUUAUCAUCCGCUGAGGGUGGAAGGGGAGUGAGCACACACUCGGGAGGUGUCUUGAGAUUAUCAUCCGCUGAGGGUGGAAGGGGAGUGAGCACACACUCGGGAGGUGUCUUGAGGCUCAGGGAGUUAUCAGUUAUAGAAUGUUGUUGAGUUGGAGGAGGUGGCUGGUGGCCCAUCCUGUUUUUUAAAGUUUCAGCUGUGAGGUA